GUUGAAACACCGGUUUCCGUACUAUCACCGACGUUAAGCAACGUAGAACUUGGUCAGUAUCUAGAUAGGCGACUGCUUGGGAAUAUCAGGUGUUGUAAG